UACGAAGGGGGCUAGCGUUGUUCGGAUUUACUGGGCGUAAAGCGCACGUAGGCGGAUUGUUAAGUCAGGGGUGAAAUCCUGGAGCUCAACUCCAGAACUGCCUUUGAUACUGGCAAUCUAGAGUCCGGAAGAGGUGAGUGGAACUCCUAGUGUAGAGGUGGAAUUCGUAGAUAUUAGGAAGAACACCAGUGGCGAAGGCGGCUCCCCGGUCCGGUACUGACGCUGAGGUGCGAAAGCGUGGGGAGCAAACAGG
rnacentral:rRNA from 1 species